rnacentral:rRNA from 1 species
UUGCCAGCCCGCUCAGAAACUCAAAGGAAUUGACGGGGCCCGCACAAGCGGUGGAGCAUGUGGUUUAAUUCGAUGAUACGCGAGGAACCUUACCUGGGCUCAAAUGUAUGUUGACGUAUUCUGAAAGGGAUACUUCUUCGGACAAUAUACAAGGUGCUGCAUGGUUGUCGUCAGCUCGUGCCGUGAGGUGUCGGGUUAAGUCCCAUAACGAGCGCAACCCCUAUCAUUAGUUGCCAUCAGGUCAAGCUGGGGACUCUAAUGAAACUGCCUACGCAAGUAGUGAGGAAGGUGGGGAUGACGUCAAAUCAGCACGGCCCUUACGUCCAGGGCUACACACGUGCUACAAUGGCCGGUACAAAGGGCAGCGAAGCCGCGAGGCAAAGCGAAUCGCAAAAAGCCGGUCUCAGUACGGAUUGGAGUCUGAAACCCGACUCCAUGAAGUUGGAAUCGCUAGUAAUCGCGCAUCAGCAUGGCGCGGUGAAUACGUUCCCGGGCCUU